rnacentral:sRNA from 1 species
UGUGUCGACGGACAGACACGCCUUUCAAGGAUGAAGGGAAAGGACAUCACAGGAAGUGAUUCAUCAGGACGAUGAAAAGGAAUACAGGGAAUAGGGAAAAAAUGUGGGCGGGUCGAACCGCCCCUUUUUUU